GUGAAACAAGGAGCUAGAGAGAGGGAAGAGGCCAGUCUUGCUCUUUUAUAACAAAUCUCUCAUAGGAACUAAGCAGAGUCCCAUGAAAACUACUGCUAUAGUUUACAUCAAGAAUGUCCCUCAAGACCUCAUGCACUUUGUUUUGGCAGCCGUGGGGCCUCUUUUUCUCCUCCCUUUCAACUUGCCUCAUGCUCGAAGCCACUGGGGAGACCCAAAGCCCUGCAGAGCAUCCCGGAAUGCAAAGCAUUUGCAAUGAGUCACAGCUGCCAGGAGCCAGCCAGGACUGCUUCACUAGGAGCAGGCGGGAGAGGGCUGCCGGCACUCACAGCUGCAGAGCUGGGGUCACAGGCUGGACCCAGGAAAGAGCAGCAGCAGCACAGCCCCGAAGGAGCAAAGAGCACGACGAGAGAACAGCCGCAGGGCAACUGCUGCCCCACUUGCUAGGUGCCUGGCUGUCGACUCUGUUGUCCGUCCAGUCUCUAAACACUAAAACUUUUCCCAAGAAAAACAGCCUUCUGGGUUAUAGAGGAUUGCAAGUUGGCGUUUGAAAAAUAAUGCCUGGCAGUCUUCUAACCAACAAUCAUUAAGGGCUGAGCCCAGAGAGCUUUGUAACCCACUAUUUUAAAAUGAGUUGGAAAAAUGCGGUGGAUGUUCUCUUUUAUGCCAACACAGGGGGCAUUCUCUGGCGCUCUCUAUUGGCAUUUGCUGUUCUUUCUCUCUGCCUGAAAGUACAUCCUUCUUUUAAGUCCUGGAGAGAGACUUUGGGUGCCAAACAUUGCCUCUUUCUACUUUUUUUUGGUUAACAAAUUAUGAACAAAGGAUGCAUUGAUCAUAUUUGCCCCAAAUAUUAAAAAAAAACUAUAGAAUAAGAAGAAAGUAUCCAUCUCACUCUUGGCCACCCCAGCCAUUCAGUUCUCCAUUCUGGAAGUGAGCACUGUUACUUGUUUCUUGUCUAUUUUUCCAGAAAUAUCCUUUGCAUGUACAAGCAUGUCUGUUGUGUAAGUUUUUGGUGCAUAUAGAAUGUAUCACAAAAUGUUCCCCUCUCUGCAUUUUUAAAAACUUUGGCACUAGUUUUGUGUCAGUACAAAUAGAACCCUUAAUUUGUUCAUUUAAACUAGAUGUUUAAACAGAACUCUAUUUCUAUACAUGUUGGUUAUUUUCAAUAUUUUCCUGUUUAAAAACUGUGCUUCUGUGAAUAUUUUUUAACAUAUAAAAUAUAGCUACAUUUGGGUCGGGGAUUUAGCUCAAUGGUUCCGCCGCCUGCCUUGCAAGCACAAGGUCAUGUGUUCGAUCCCCGGUACCAAAAAAUAUAUAUAUAUAGCUACAUUUAUGUGUAGCUAUAGAUAUAGAUUAAAUUUCAAGAGGUGGGAUUGCUAUGCCAUAUUUGAUUUUGGGGGGGGGCACCGGGGAUCGAACUUGGGUCCUUGCGCUUGCGCAGCAGGCGACGAAACCACUGAGCUAAAUCCCCAGCCCUAUAUUUGAUAUUUUGAUAGAUAUUUUGUUACAUUGCCCUCUGUAGAGGCAAUACUCACAUGCAUGCAUGUCUGUUUUCCUCAUUCCUUACCACAGAGUAUGCUAACAUUUUUACAUUUGCCAAUUGAUAGAUUUAAAAAUGGUGUCUCACUGUACUUUUAAUUUGGUUUCUUAUUAUAAGGCUAAGCGUCUUUAUCUGAUACUUGCAUUAUGUGUUCUCUGAAAUCUGUUCUCUGCCAUUUUUAAUUGCAUUGUUGUCUUGAUCGCUUCAACUCUGUAUAUUAAAGAAAACAGCUUUUUGUCAGUGUAUACACAGGAAUUCUUUUUCCAGUUUUUUUUCAUACUUUCCAUGUUAAUUUCAUACAGAAGUCUUUUUAGUUUUGUGUUGUUGAAUUUGCCUUUUCAUUCUUGGUGUAAGAACUUUCCUUUCAUUCUCUGAAAGUUUCAUAAAUUGAGUAUAUUAAAUAAACUGACAGUAGAGAUACCAGCAGGAGAAAAGACUUAUAACUGUAUCAUGUUUGUGAAGAAUCACAAGAAAAAAAAAAA